rnacentral:rRNA from 1 species
AAGAGUUUGAUCCUGGCUCAGGAUGAACGCUGGCGGCGUGCCUAAUACAUGCAAGUCGAACGCAUUAACUUCACCGAGUGCUUGCACUCACCGAAGUUAAUGAGUGGCGAACGGGUGAGUAACACGUGGGUAACCUGCCCAAAAGAGGGGGAUAACACUUGGAAACAGGUGCUAAUACCGCAUAAUUUGUUAAACCGCAUGGUUUGAUAAUGAAAGACGGCGUAAGCUGUCACUUUUGGAUGGACCCGCGGCGUAUUAGCUAGUUGGUGAGGUAAAGGCCCACCAAGGCAAUGAUACGUAGCCGACCUGAGAGGGUGAUCGGCCACAUUGGGACUGAGACACGGCCCAAACUCCUACGGGAGGCAGCAGUAGGGAAUCUUCCACAAUGGACGAAAGUCCGAUGGAGCAACGCCGCGUGAGUGAAGAAGGUUUUCGGAUCGUAAAGCUCUGUUGUUAGAGAAGAAUGUAGGUAAGAGUAACUGUUUACCUAGUGACGGUAUCUAACCAGAAAGCCACGGCUAACUACGUG